rnacentral:rRNA from 1 species
AUGGCUAAGAGGCUGAGGUCUGGUGGCCAGAUCCAUGCGGAGCGAAUAGUGCUCAGGCCUCCUAUGUCAACAGCCAUAGCUGUGAUGGAGGUUGGAGAUAUACUUGAUGAGAACUAUUCUGGAGAGGCAUCCGUGGGUUGUUACAUUAAAAAAACAACUAAUCAGGUCGUGAAGGAAGAUAAGCUGCUACUAGCACAGCAACAUGUAUGUUUCGAGAUCGAAGAAGGAUACGGAGAGACCGAUCCAUAUGUGUCUACCUUGUUCGACGAAAUAUGGUACGUGGAAGACGUUGGUGACUGUUGCUCCCGCAUUUCUUCAAAAUUCAAAACAAAGGAGGAUGACAACGAUGAUUAUGGAGAAGAGGUUGACAGCUUUGCGUGCAAAAGGCGUAAAACUAAGCCAGGCAGUGCUCACUGCCAUUUAGGGAAAAUAUAUUAA